CUCUCAUUGGCUGAGCUCUUGCCGGGCAAGAAGAGGAAGUCUUUCUUCUUCCGGUUGAGAUCUGCAGUCUUUUAGGCCGGAGGGCGCCCCCUUCUGGCUUCCUGACUCCAUUUUAAUUAAGAUGGCUUUAAAACAUGCAUGUAUUAUGCUUGGCUAUUGUGAAUAAUGUAGCAAUGAACAUAGGAGUGGUAAAACCUUUUUGGAUCCUGCUUUCAAUUUUGGGGGGUAAAUUCCAGACGUUGAAUUGCUGAAUCUCAAGGGUUAUCGUUACCAUCUUUCCUAAAUUCAGCUCUUUUAAAAGCAAGAAGAAAGCAUUAUUUCUGCGACAGCUUCACGGAGGUCUUUAGCAUGUAAAGAAAGCAUGCGAGAAAUAAUAGCAGUUGGGCUAAGACUUGGGAGAACCAAGGAAUUACGAGAAUAAGAAAGAAAAACAGCCCUGAGGAACAUGAAGAGAAUUGCUGGAGUUCAACCUCUGAAAUCUGAAAAGCUACAGAAGGACGAAGGGGCCAGAAUAGAGGAAAUUACAAGUCAGAGAGCCCCCCUAAGGAACAGAGGGCGGGCUGGAGUACGGAAGGGAGGCUCUGGAAAAACCUCACCACAUGCAAGGAGGGCACAGCUUUCUUCAAACUUCCAGACCCAGAGAAUGAAACCUGCCCACCAAAGCAAAAAGGAUUUUCCAGAUCCCUCUUCCUACCCUCCAAUCCUUCCUGCCCCAAACCUGGAAGAGCAGAAGUAAGGGAAGUAGAAAGUAGCAGAAGUAGCAAGUAGAAAGGGAGGGGAAGGGAUAAAGGGGAGAGGCUGGUCAUUUCUCUCCCCUGAGCUGUAUGGCAGAGGAAAAGGACUGAAGGACUGUCUUUGAAUGAUGGUCUUUGAAUGAUAUCUUUGAAUGAAGAUCAAAGUGUUGAUGAUUUCAUGUAACUAAACAUUUUAUUUGUUAAAAAAUGUAAUUUGUAUUUUGUGUCUUAAAAGUCACCACUGGAUACUGUAUUACCUAAGAAUGUUCAGAACAUGAUGAGACUGCUUUUCUUUUUUUUUUCUUUUUUUGGUUAAUCCAAAAGUAGGAUAAAAUAGGAUCCUAGGAAACCUAAUGAAAAUAAGAAUCUGAAUGUUUGCUUUGUGAUAAGCAUCUCACACUCAUCAGGUUUGUUCAGUGAACGAGUUACAUCUCCAGAGUUACAUCAGGGAAUCUGGAGAUGACAAGAAUCCUAGAAAUCUAGCCUUUCCAUGACAUACCAGGAAAAUACUAUAGAAAAUCCAAACCAUUUGGAAUAGUUUACGUUCAGGGAUAAGUAUUUGAUCAGCUGGAGUACACUGGUCAACAAUCAACAGCAGAUAAGGCUAGGAAAGUUAGAAAAAGUAUAUCAUGAGGGUUGAAUCUUCACUAGCUUAUGCGGUAUCUCAAAUGAUGUCAUCUUUCAUCUUUUGUCAGAAACACAGGUAAAUCCUGAUGGAGACACAAAAGGAUCUUGUGGCAUCUUGCUGCUGACUCUCAAAUAUGGUACAACUUCUCAGUGAUAUAGUUUCCUGGAAAUUCAAGGUCACUUGACACACAAGAUAACAGGAAGAAGCUUCACACCUUAAAGCAUCACAAGUCUUCCACUCUGUGAUUGCUAUUCUUCCCCGAAAAGUCUCCAGUUCCAUCACAAAUUAGAGAAAAGGUGACUGUCACCAUGUAAGCGGGUCAAAAAUUAUCUGAAGCGUGUGUCACAUGGGGUGUCACUGAUUUAAACAGGAAGAUAAGGAAUAAAAACUAUACUGGCAUUUAAAUUCAUUUUUAAGUGAAAAUAACACUGCUUUUGAAUUGUAAUGUUGACUAGGCAGUUGGAGGUAUUUUGAGCUUGGAGAAAACAACUGUGUUUGAAAGUAAGAUUUAGGAUUGGUCAACAUAAAUGUAAUUUGAGUUGAAACUACAAGAAAGAUGCUCACUUUGAGGUUAACCACAAGAUGCCAUUGCCAAAGCUGGAGUUGUGAGACAAAACAAAGCUAGAAAACCUCAAAGUUAAGAAAAAGAAAACUUUAUUUUGAUGACCUGAACUCUUAGGAACCCCUCCCAAGAAAUCUUGUGAAAAUUCAUUAAUUAUGAGAACUUGAUCAUUAUUAGCACAAAUAUUGGUCUUUAUAUUAUUUCUUUUUAAGUUAAAAUUAAAUAAAAGUAUUUGAAUAGUGAUGGAAUGGUUUCACAUCCAGGGAAAAUUUGUUAAUUGUUCAUAAACAGUAACUAUACUUAAACAUAUCUAAUUUAGAGGAUAUCAAACAUCUUUGUAAAAUAUUAGAAUGUGAAAACAAGAAUAUAUUUCCAUAACAUUAACUUAUCCCUGAGAUAAAGUAUUUACCCUCAUAGUCUCAACUUUUCUAAAAGUAAUUUUUAUCCAGAAGCAUGGAAAUAAUUUUAAUGAUCUAACUAGAAAAAUCAGAAUCUUUUAUAAUAUCCUUGGCCAGUUACAGUUAAGCUUGUAUUUUUGAGAAUGUAUAAUAAAAACAUCCAAAAGUGGGUAUCCCUCUUUUCCUUCUCUCCCUUCUUCCUUCUCCUUCCAACCUUUCCAUCAACAAAUAGAUGCAUGUCUAUGUUCAAUGUAUUACACUAGGUGUUUUAGCUGAUGACAGAUAGAGUAAUAUAAGACAUAUACAAAGAUAAUUAUAACACAAGGGAGAAUAUUUUCUGGUUCAUUAGAUAUGAAUUAUUGAAUGGUGGUUAUAAAUGUUGAAUGAACAAGUUCUCUGUUCAUUUCUCAUUGAUUAUGUUUUGGUAGUAAUGUAAGACAAAUCAGGAUGGAAUGAUGGUUAAUUUAAAAAAUCGCAAUGCUAUAAUUUUAAAAAGGUACAUAGGUAUAUAAUAAAGCAAAUAAGCUUGCCUGUGCACUUUUAAAUUUCAUAUUGAUUUAGCUUCCUGCAGAAUAUUUGCAGCACUGUAAUUAGUUUUGAACGUUCAGAUAAUGUUAUUGUCAGGCCAUGCAGAUUUAAUUCAUAGCGAGCUCUUAGAGCGCGAAGUGCAUAAAAUCCAAGCUGUUGACUGUUAGUUUCGGUAAGUGCAUUAGGGCAAUUUUUAACAAGUGCUCUUUAUUUAUUUAUUUUGGCUGUCCUGCGUCUUUGUUGCUGCGCAGGCUUUUCUGUAGUUGCAGUGAGCAGGAGCUCCUCUCUAGUUGCUGUAUGCAGGCUUCCCGUGUUGCAGAGCAUGGGCUUAGGGUGUGCGGGCUUCAGUUGUUGUGGCUUGUGGGCUCAGUGGUUGUAGCUGUCAGGCUGUAGAGCACAGACUCAAUAGCUGUGCUGCUCUGCAGGGGAGCCCAACAAGUGUUCUUUAAGUAAUUCAGAUUUUCAGGCUUGAUUAUGAACCCUUCUAGAGCAUUUCUUGGAGAAGGCAAUGGCAGCCCACUCCAGUACUCUUGCCUGGAAAAUCUCAUGGACAGAGGAGCCUGGUAGGCUGCAGUCCAUGGGGUUGCGAAGAGUCAGACACAACUGAGUGACUUCACUUUCACUUUUCACUUUCAUGCAUUGGAGAAGGAAAUGGCAACCUGCUCCAGUGUUCUUGCCUGGAGAAUCCCAGGGAUGGCAGAGCCUGGUGGGCUGCUGUCUAUGGGGUUGCACAGAGUUGGACAUGACUGAAGAGACUGAGCACCAGCAGCAGCAGAGCAUUUCUAGGCCAACUAAAAUUUAAACAGGGAGAUUUGUAGGCCAAGCA
ensembl:lncRNA